CUCCUGGGAAGCUAGGUAAAAUGCAGGAAGUCUGGAGAGAGGCCUGAGAUUCUGCAUUUAUAACAAGCUCCCAGGGG
rnacentral:pre_miRNA from 1 species